rnacentral:rRNA from 1 species
UACGUAGGGUCCGAGCGUUGUCCGGAAUUAUUGGGCGUAAAGAGCGUGUAGGCGGCCUUACAGGUCAGCUGUGAAAACUCGAGGCUCAACCUCGAGACGUCGGUUGAAACCGUAAGGCUAGAGUCCGGAAGAGGAGAGUGGAAUUCCCGGUGUAGCGGUGAAAUGCGCAGAUAUCGGGAAGAACACCCGUGGCGAAGGCGGCUCUCUGGGACGGUACUGACGCUGAGACGCGAAAGCGUGGGGAGCGAACAGG